UACGUAGGGGGCAAGCGUUGUCCGGAUUUAUUGGGCGUAAAGAGCGUGUAGGCGGCCAGGUAGGUGGGUUGUGAAAGUCCAGGGCUCAACCCUGGGAUGCCGGUCGAUACUGCCGGACUAGAGUUCGGAAGAGGCGAGUGUAAUUCCCGGUGUAGCGGUGAAAUGCGCAGAUAUCGGGAGGAACACCGGUGGCGAAGGCGGGUCUCUGGGCCGAAACUGACGCUGAGGAGCGAAAGCGUGGGUAGCAAACAGG
rnacentral:rRNA from 1 species